rnacentral:rRNA from 1 species
AGGAUGAACGCUGGCGGCGUGCCUAACACAUGCAAGUCGAACGUCCUGUCUCGCAAGAGGCAGGGAGUGGCGGACGGGUGAGUACCACGUGGGUCAUCUACCGUGAGGUGAGGAAUACCGGCGAGAAAUCGCCGACAAGACCGCAUAGCCUCGGUGCAAGCCGAGGAAAGCUCUCUCGAGAGAGGGAGCGCCACACGAGGAGCCUGCGCCCGAUUAGCUAGCUGGUGGAGUAACGGUUCACCAGGGCGACGAUCGGUAGCUGGUCUGAGAGGACGAUCAGCCACACUGGGAUUGAGAACGGCCCAGACUCCUACGGGGGGCAGCAGUGAGGAAUUUUCGCAAUGGGGCAACCCUGAACGAGCAACGCCGCGUGCAGGAAGAAGGUUUUCGGAUCGUAAAACUGCUUUUCUCGGGGAAGAGAACGGACGGUACCCGAGGAAUCAGCCCCGGCUAACUACGUGCCAGCAGCCGC